UAUAAUGGUACGUAAUUAAUACAAGCAAGAAUUUUGGCGGACACUCUGCAGUUCCUGCCUGCACCAAGGUCUUAGCUGAAUAAAGAUUUCACCGACUUUUGUUAACACUACUGAUGAAUGCCACCAUUUUAAACCGGAUAUUUUUCUGCAGUUCCACGCUACUGGCAACUAUUUUCUGAUUUAUGCGACGACGUUGAUGAGACACACUAACUGAUAAACAAACAACGAAAUAUAAAUAAACAAAUGAUAAAUAGGUAAAGAAAAUAUUCGCGCAAACAUUCACUGGGGCACCAUAAUGAUGGGUUUAUUUGAACACAUUGAUCCCCGAAGCGCUACAUUACUGGGACGUAAACAAACCAACACAGGUUUACCAAGCGGUGGUGGGGACAAACUCAACACAAAGAUGGACUCCUUUCAGUUUCCAUCCAUUAAAUUCACUCACAAGGCUUUCGUCAACUCAGAGAGGUAACGAAAAACAUUUUCCCAAGGUGAUGUGCAAAUGGACUGAACCUAAGACCACAUGGUUGGAAAGCAAGCUUAAUAUUCAACAAAAAUGCUAACAAUGACUUUGAAGUUUCGUCAUCAAAAUGUAAACCUUGGUAAAAUGUAAUAAACGUAUUUUAAGAAAAGAA